rnacentral:rRNA from 1 species
UACGUAGGGGGCUAGCGUUGUCCGGAAUCAUUGGGCGUAAAGCGCGUGUAGGCGGUCCGGUAAGUCCGCUGUGAAAGUCGGGGGCUCAACCCUCGAAUGCCGGUGGAUACUGUCGGGCUAGAGUACGGAAGAGGCGAGUGGAAUUCCUGGUGUAGCGGUGAAAUGCGCAGAUAUCAGGAGGAACACCAGUGGCGAAGGCGGCUCGUGGGCCGUACAU